rnacentral:rRNA from 1 species
AGUGAACGCUGGCGGUAAGCCUAACACAUGCAAGUCGAACGGCAGCACAGGAGAGCUUGCUCUCUGGGUGGCGAGUGGCGGACGGGUGAGGAAUACAUCGGAAUCUACUCUGUCGUGGGGGAUAACGUAGGGAAACUUACGCUAAUACCGCAUACGACCUACGGGUGAAAGCAGGGGACCUUCGGGCCUUGCGCGAUUGAAUGAGCCGAUGUCGGAUUAGCUAGUUGGCGGGGUAAAGGCCCACCAAGGCGACGAUCCGUAGCUGGUCUGAGAGGAUGAUCAGCCACACUGGAACUGAGAAACGGUCCAGACUCCUACGGGAGGCAGCAGUGGGGAAUAUUGGACAAUGGGCGCAAGCCUGAUCCAGCCAUACCGCGUGGGUGAAGAAGGCCUUCGGGUUGUAAAGCCCUUUUGUUGGGAAAGAAAUCCAGCUGGCUAAUACCCGGUUGGGAUGACGGUACCCAAAGAAUAAGCUCCGGCUAACUUCGUGCCAGCCGCCGCCGUAA